GCUCUAUUGGUGUAGUGGUUAUCACAUCGUUCUUAUAGUUGCGCUUUCAACGCUUCAUAUGCGAGGGUCCUGAGUUCAAUCCUCAGAUAGAGCA